GAUAGCCCCACAGUGGCCUUCUGCAGGUUGGGGAGUUGGAGGAACCAGUAACUGUGCAGUACAAGAUGCUGAAGCCUCAGAACUAGAGGAAUCAAUGCUGUUACGCCAGUGCAUGACCAAAGGCUUCUGGAAAUUCCCUGGAGAAUCACUGGUAGAGUCCACUUUUGAAGAGUGAAGGAUCUGGAAUCUGAUGUCCUCAAGGGAUCAUAGCAGCCAAGAACCCUUUCAAAUUAUGGCAUUUGCUGGUAAAUGGAUGGAACUGGAGACUAUCAUGCUAAGUGAAAUAAGCCAAUCCCAAAAAAUUCAAAGGCCAAAUGUUCUCUCUGAGAGCAGAUGUGACUCACAGUGGGGAGUGGGGAGUGGAUAUUCACGUGACUGGACAGGGGGAAAUGGGGGAAAGGGAGGGGAGUGGGAAUGGAAAAGACAGUAGAAUGAAUUAGACAUAACUUUCCUAUAUUCAUAUGUGAAUACAUGACCAGUGUAAUUCCACAUCAUGCAUAACCACAAGAAUGGGAAGUUGUAUUCCAUGUAUGUAUGA
rnacentral:lncRNA from 1 species